rfam:Mesocricetus auratus contig023773, whole genome shotgun sequence.
CCAAAGGCCCUUUUCAGGGCCGCCCACGUUUUCAGUAAAAGGGCUG